GGAGAUUAUAGAGUGCAACUUCUGCCCUAUGAUUACGUACUUGGUGUGGCGGAUUUUUCAGCUCAAUAUGUAAAACAAAAUUGGAGCUCAAGAGGCGGGAAAAUAAUGAAAAAGGUUCAACUACCAAUAUUUAGAGUUUGCGUUAAAAUAUUUUGUUGUUGCUAUGGGAGUAAAUAAGGUGUUCUUAAGCCUAACAGGGUCAUAGUUACAGCAGAUUGUACACGAUAAAGACCUGCGGUUAUUUCAUCAGAAAGAAGAAGAGACCUUAAGCCUUUAGGCAGUUCUAAACUCCUUACCUAACUUUGUUAUUAACAGGAUGCCGAACUGAGAAAAUAUUUUAGCGUGUAAAUCAUUUGUCAGACAGACUUGACUGAUGACCGGAAGUGUUUAACCUGAAGUGUAAAGCUGCACAACUGGCUAUCUACGUUAUGUCCUUCACAGGGAUUGGUCCCCGAUUUCUACAGUGAUAAGUUCCAAGAUUAUCCUUGAGCCACCGGGGAACGACCUAAUAGUGGAUUUAAGCAGCGUGUUCAACAUGUGGAGUGAGUUUCCUAUGGACUUCUACCGUUUCUAUUGGUUUCGAGACGACUUUUCAGGUUCUAUGUUACAUUCUUCGUUAUUAUAUGAAAUAAACAGAGAAUGUAGAACACUAGCGCGGUCCACACAGACUGCACUUCAACUGUGAAAAAUUUAGAUUGAUCCUUGAAAAAGUUGACGAAUCUGGUUUUUGUUAAGUUUCUGUAGAAAGUGGUCCCAAAUAUUACUAAUUACUGUUCGUUUGCUGUCACGCCCAGAUCUGUACAAUGUCUAUCACUACAGUGCACACCGCAGGGAUCGAACGUAUUAUAAACCCCAAGCUUAUCGCUGAUCCACCAUGAAAGAACCAAUGAAAUGCAGGAAACAGUAACGAGCUCUAGCUCUUGCAUUAUUUAUAGUGAGCUUUUGAAAACCACUGAAUUAGCUGUAAGACGAAACAUUAUGUAAUAAAAACAAACGAUACAAUAUCUUUUUAUUUUGUCUUCAACACUGCAAUCAGUUACCACUAUAUUGGUUUAAAAUAAAACAGUCUACUUUCCAUUACAAACUAUAGUUUAAGUACAGCUAAGUAGUUGUAGAAGCUAGAAGUUUGUUGCCAUAAAUAUAUUUCAACGCCAGGAUAUUAUUUUAUUUUAUUUCUAA